rnacentral:lncRNA from 1 species
ACAACUGAAUUAAUUUUGUAUGGCUCUUAAUUGGGUCGCAGCUUCUUUAAUUUGGCCGUAGCAUGUAUAUAUAAUACAUGUCUCCUAAUUAGAGUCUAAUUCUAAUUCAAUUAGAAUUAUACUCCUAAUUAUAAUCCAUAUAUGCCAAAUUAAAUCUAAAUAAUAUCUAAUCCCAAUUAGAUUAGGAUUUAUCCUCAAAUUUAGAUAACUACAAAUCUAAACCAAAUAUAACACCCCCCUCUACUGAUUAAAGAUACACGGACUUGACAGUGAAUUUAUUGUCAGGGUCUCAUCUCCAACGAAUAACAUCAUGUCAAUUUUCAACUCG